rnacentral:rRNA from 1 species
UACGAAGGGGGCUAGCGUUGUUCGGAAUUACUGGGCGUAAAGCGCGCGCAGGUGGUCUUUCAAGUCAGUGGUGAAAGCCCGGAGCUCAACUCCGGAAAUGCCAUUGAAACUGUAAGACUUGAGGAUGAGAGAGGUGAGUGGAAUUCCCAGUGUAGAGGUGAAAAUUCGUAGAUAUUGGGAAGAACACCGGUGGCGAAGGCGGCUCACUGGCUCAUUACUGACGCUGAGGCGCGAAAGCUAGGGGGAGCAAACAGG